AAAGGAAUGCAUAUGUGAUAAAGCUGUUCAUCGACUAUACAGCACAGCCUUCAAUACCAUAGUGCCCAGUAAGCUCAUUACAAAGCUCAUGUCCCUGGGUCUGAACUCCUUAUGCAACUGGGUCCUGGACUUCCUAAUAACCCGCCCCCAGGUGGUAAAGGCCGGUGGUGGUUGGCCCGCUCCAGGCAGCUGAGGUGCGGGAGGUUCCUCCGCCCCCUCUGGACAUCGUACUGGACAGCGUACUCCGUUCGAUCCAUCCUGGAUUCGAGUCGUCGGGCGAGGGGCCUUCAGUACCUCGUGGAUUGGGAGGGGUACGGUCCGGAGGAGAGAUGCUGGGUUCUGAUGGAGGACGUGUUAGAUCAUUCCAUGCUGCGAGAGAUCCACCGUCUCCAUCCGGAUCGCCUUGCUCAUCAUCCUCCAGGCCGUCCUCGAUGGGGGGGGGGGGGGUACUGUUACAACUUCUGCCGAAGUCGAUGCCUCCCCUUGUUCGGGCGGUGCUCCAUUUUUCAUUUUCCAUUGGUUUUGUCUUGUCUUCCUACACACCUGGUUCCAAUCUCAUUCAUUACAGGUUGUGUAUUUAACCCUCUGUUUCCCCUUGUUACUCUCAUCGAAAUGAUCGGACCAAGGUGCAGCGUGGUAGGCGUACAUUUUAUCUUUAUUAAAAAUGAACACCUAAAAACAGCAAAAUGAAAACGAACAUAACAUUCGGUAGGCUACACAGAGUUGUACAAAAACAACAUCCCACAAAACUAAGGUGGAAAAACAUGCUGCCUAAGUAUGAUUCCCAAUCAGAGACAACGAUAGACAGCUGUCCCUGAUUGAGAACCAUACCCGGCCUAAACAUAGAAAUAAAGAACAUGGAGUUUCCCACCCGAGUCCCACCCUGACCAACCAAACAUAGAGAAUAAAAAGAUCUCUACGGUCAGGGCGUGACACCCCUCAUGUCCUUGUCAGAGAUUGUUUGUUUGUAUAUUUGUGUAUUAUGUAUUGGUGCGCGAUGGGUUCUUGUACUUUUAUUUUAUCUUGUAAUUUUGAUUAUGGAGUUGUCAAGUCUAUUAAACAACUUCCUUUAUAUCAAG